UACGGGGGGAGCAAGCGUUGUUCGGAUUCAUUGGGCGUAAAGGGUGCGUAGGCGGCGCGGUAAGUCGGGUGUGAAAUCUCGGAGCUUAACUCCGAAACUGCAUUCGAUACUGCCGUGCUUGAGGACUGGAGAGGAGACUGGAAUUUACGGUGUAGCGGUGAAAUGCGUAGAUAUCGUGAGGAAGACCAGUGGCGAAGGCGGAUCUCUGGACAGUUCCUGACGCUGAGGCGCGAAGGCCAGGGGAGCAAACGGG
rnacentral:rRNA from 1 species